rnacentral:misc_RNA from 1 species
GAUGAAGAACGUAGCGAAAUGCGAUAAGUAGUGUGAAUUGCAGAAUUCAGUGAAUCAUCGAAUCUUUGAACGCACAUUGCGCCUCCUGGUAUUCCGGGAGGCAUGCCUGUUCGAGCGUCAUUAAAAUCACUCAAGCUUAGGUUUACCUAUUGCUUGGUCUUGGAGAUGGAAGCCAAUUUAUUGGAAUCCUCUUCGAAAUUCAAUGGCGAAGACCCUUGCUCUCCCAAGUGUAGUAAUAACUUAUGUCACUAAAGGAAGCGAGAAAUCUUCUGCCGUAACCCCCAUAUUUUCUAUGAUUGACCUCGGAUCAGGUAGGGAUACCCGCUGAACUUAAGCAUAUCAAUAAGCGGAGGA